rnacentral:rRNA from 1 species
UGGGGAAUAUUGCACAAUGGGCGCAAGCCUGAUGCAGCAACGCCGCUUGAACGAUGAAGGUCUUCGGAUCGUAAAGUUCUGUUGCAGGGGAAGAUAAUGACGGUACCCUGUGAGGAAGCCCCGGCUAACUACGUGCCAGCAGCCGCGGUAAUACGUAGGGGGCUAGCGUUAUCCGGAUUUACUGGGCGUAAAGGGUGCGUAGGUGGUCUUUCAAGUCGGUGGUUAAAGGCUACGGCUCAACCGUAGUUAGCCUCCGAAACUGGAAGACUUGAGUGCAGGAGAGGAAAGUGGAAUUCCCAGUGUAGCGGUGAAAUGCGUAGAUAUUGGGAGGAACACCAGUAGCGAGGGCGGCUUUCUGGACUGCAACUGACACUGAGGCACGAAAGCGUGGGUAGCAAACAGG